GACGAACGCUGGCGGCGUGCUUAACACAUGCAAGUCGAACGAAAAUACCAAGCUUGCUUGGUUGAUUAGUGGCGAACGGGUGAGUAACACGUGAGUAACCUGCCCCUUACUUUCCUGGAUAACUGCUCGAAAGGGUAGCUAAUACGGGAUAUUCUGACCAGUCUGCAUGGGUUGGUUUGGAAAGGUUGUUUUUCUGGUAAGGGAUGGGCUCGCGGCCUAUCAGCUUGUUGGUGGGGUGAUGGCCUACCAAGGCUUUGACGGGUAGCCGGCCUGAGAGGGUGGACGGUCACACUGGGACUGAGAUACGGCCCAGACUCCUACGGGAGGCAGCAGUGGGGAAUAUUGCACAAUGGGCGCAAGCCUGAUGCAGCGACGCCGCGUGAGGGAUGAAGGCCUUCGGGUUGUAAACCUCUUUCGUCAGGGAACAAGGCACUGCUUUGGUGGUGUUGAGGGUACCUGGAUAAGAAGCGCCGGCUAACUACGUGCCAGCAGCCGCGGUAAUACGUAGGGCGCAAGCGUUGUCCGGAAUUAUUGGGCGUAAAGAGCUCGUAGGCGGCUGGUCGCGUCUGUCGUGAAAACUUCCGGCUCAACCGGGGGCUUGCGGUGGGUACGGGCCGGCUAGAGUGCGGUAGGGGUAACUGGAACUCCUGGUGUAGCGGGUGGAAUGCGCAGAUAUCAGGAAGAACACCGAUGGCGAAUGCAGGUUACUGGGGCCGUUACUGACGCUGAGGAGCGAAAGCGUGGGGAGCGAACAGGAUAGAUACCCUGGUUAGUCCAAGGGCGAAUUCCACAGUGGAUAUCAAGCUUAUCGAUACCGUCGACGUCGAGGGGGGGGCCCGGUACCCAGCUUUUGUUCCCUUUAGUGAGGGUUUAAUAAAGUGUUGUAUGAUAUGCUAAUUGUGUUGUGCUUCGUGGUGUGUGUGCAUGCCUGAUCAAAGUGUUGUUGUUGUGGUUGGUGGUGUGCUGUCCCUUUGUUAGUUAGUCUUGUGUGUGUUGUGUGUCUAUUGUUUGUGUUGUGAUUGUUUUGCUAGUGGUGUGUGCAUGGUGUGUCUGGCUUGUGUGUUGUGUGUGAGUGUGUGUGCU
rnacentral:rRNA from 1 species